UCCGGUUUGUCACCGGCAGUCCCAUUAGAGUGCUCAACUAAAUGUGGCAACUAAUGGCAAGGGUUGCGCUCGUUGCGGGACUUAACCCAACAUCUCACGACACGAGCUGACGACGGCCAUGCAACACCUGUCACCGACCAAUUGAAGAGGUCCAUCUCUGGUCCCCCGAUCGGGAAGUCAAGGCCAGGUAAGGUUCUUCGCGUUGCAUCGAAUUAAGCCACAUACUCCACCGCUUGUGCAGGCCCCCGUCAAUUUCUUUGAGUUUUAGCCUUGCGGCCGUACUCCCCAGGCGGGGUGCUUAAUGCGUUAGCUUCGGCACGGAAGGAGUCGACACCUCCCACACCUAGCACCCAUCGUUUACGGCGUGGACUAC
rnacentral:misc_RNA from 1 species